rnacentral:lncRNA from 1 species
AAAGACUGCCUCUGCCCUUGGUGCCACAGAGACACAAGAGUUUGGAAUAACUGUCUAGGGUUGCUCCAACAUACAGAUUCUGAGGAGGAAAUGGAGUCGUCCUAGGUACAGACAUCUUGUACUCGAAUUUAUUCUCUUGCAUCCUUGGAACCAGGACAGCCUGUGAGCGAUGUACUCAAGACAAACCCCCAGCAUGGCUGUCUGACCUUUUCAGCAAGCUAAUAGAAGACAGAGAAAACUUGGUACACUCCCCACACAGGAUAAAAGGCACCCACACUGAGGCCUGUGCUGGUCAGAUGGAAAUAGUCUCAACGAGCUGCAGGAGAGAUCUGGAAGGAUCCUUUGUCUUCUGUAAGAAACACUGGAGUCUUCCCUUGAGAGUCAUCUCUUCCAUUCUCAUUGGUCCACACAAAUUGGGUAACAAUAACAUAACCAUCCAGAGAGGAGAACAGGACCCAGAGAGUCCUAAGAAUGCUCUACUCAGCAAUGAGAGAUGCAAUUCUAAGGGAAUUAAAAACCAAACCAACCUCAGCUAGAGAACGGGAAUAGAGACAAUGUUCGACCCAGGAGCAGGGAGACAACAGUGGAAAAAGCAGAGCUGAGAUGGGAGUGAACUCUGAAGAUGUCUGCGUCCUGGGCUCAGCUACCCCGGAGCAUGGGGAGGCCUGGGGAACUUCUCAGGUUGAAUUUGCAAGUCUGAGUCAGUCUGAUCUCUCAUUUGCUGCUGCAUUCUUUCCUACUUCAAAACCUGACCGUUCAAACUACUGUCCAUACUCCUGUCAAGGUACUUCUGGGUUCAAGACCCCGAAUCCCCUAUUCUACUAUCCAUA